CAUAGGUGUGCCCAGGUGUGCAGGCUCCAGGUGUGCCCAGGUGUGCAGGCUCCACGAGAUGACCCCAUGUACCUCAGGUGAUGAUGCUGGUGGAUCUCAGGUGUGCCAGGUGUGCCCAUAGCAGGG